rnacentral:lncRNA from 1 species
AGGAGAACUCUAUGGCUGCCAUUUCAUAUGUGCUCUUAGCUGGAAUUUACUAGCAAAAACUAAUCUGUGUUAAAAUUAAGUGUUAUUUUUGACUGGUCGGGUUUUUUUCUGCAUUUGUUACCCAGUUCAUUUUUCCUUGUUGCUGUACAAAUGCUUUUGUUUGGAUGUGAAAUGGGUUGGUGAAGGACAGGAAGAAGCAGCUGUCAAGCAGGACUACUUUUUGUGAGGGUAGUGCUGCCUUAAAUUGCAUGUUAAUUUACAGUCAUUUCUUACUGAUGUUGUUGUAACAGAGUCAACCACUGGAGCAGAGAAGAGGGCUAGACUCUUUUUCUUAAACUGCCAUCAUGCAGCCUCUCCUGUGUGACAGCAAAGAACAGCAAGGACAAGGGCUGUAUGCUGGUUUUACAUAACAUGAAGUUGACUCACUCCCUCCAGCCUUCUAUAUGACAUCCUUCCUAGAGGCCACAGAAUAUUUUGGGAAUAGAAAUUUGACAUGAUGGACUCAAAGCUUCAGUCCCAGAUUUACAGCAACAUGGUGUGCUGUUGAUUUUUCACAAAGAAGUCACCAGAAACAUAGCUCCGAGAAGCUUUUGCUCUGAAAGAAAUGACGUGAUUGCAGUUCAGAAGCUAAGGAAGCUGCCAAAAAACAUAAGUUCUUCUCACGAGGUGGAAAACCAGUGGGAAGAGUUCAAUACAUUAUUUGAAGAAGGAAUGGAAUUGAAAGUAUUCCUAGAACAUGGGACAUAUACACAGCCAAAUGGGAGAGCUGUAGUUCUGUCUACAGUCAACAGAGUAAUGAAGAAAGAUGUCUAUGAGUGCAAAAUACCACCUAUGAUAUGAACACUUAUAUUUCCUGAAAUGGAAAUGGAACAGAGAAAUAGCCAGUUUCACUGAGCCCUGAAGGCUGUACAUGCCAUAGCUUUGUUAAGAAAAUGUCGGUUUAGGCCUUUUUUUUUUAAGAAAAGGUAAGAGGAAAUACUAGGAAGUGUUUGUAUUAUUCCUUCAGCCAUAAGUGCUUGUAUGUGGAGAGAGUGUAUGCUAAUGGAAGCAUGUAUGGAAACU